rnacentral:rRNA from 1 species
UACGUAGGGUGCAAGCGUUAUCCGGAUUUAUUGGGCGUAAAGGGCUCGUAGGCGGUUCGUCGCGUCCGGUGUGAAAGUCCAUCGCUUAACGGUGGAUCCGCGCCGGGUACGGGCGGGCUUGAGUGCGGUAGGGGAGACUGGAAUUCCCGGUGUAACGGUGGAACGUGUAGAUAUCGGGAAGAACACCAAUGGCGAAGGCAGGUCUCUGGGCCGUUACUGACGCUGAGGAGCGAAAGCGUGGGGAGCGAACAGG